rnacentral:piRNA from 1 species
UGCAGAAAUCAUGGACAGUAAAUGG